rnacentral:rRNA from 1 species
UACGUAGGGUGCAAGCGUUGUCCGGAAUUAUUGGGCGUAAAGAGCUCGUAGGCGGUUCGUCGCGUCGGCUGUGAAAUCCCGAGGCUCAACCUCGGGUCUGCAGUCGAUACGGGCGGACUGGAGUUCGGCAGGGGAGACUGGAAUUCCUGGUGUAGCGGUGAAAUGCGCAGAUAUCAGGAGGAACACCGGUGGCGAAGGCGGGUCUCUGGGCCGAUACUGACGCUGAGGAGCGACAGCGUGGGGAGCAAACAGG